CCGACCUGCCAGCCGCCCCACCCGAACCGAACCGAACCAAGCCCGGAUUCCAGCCCGGUCUCACCAGCUCCUCUCCCGUUUGAUUUCCGCCGCCCACCUGAUAACCCGCGGCCGGGCACGCCAGCGAGGCGAAGCCGUGUCCGGUAAGGAAUCGGUUGGUUCCCCCUCCCGCACCGCCUCUGCGCCGGCUACAAAAGGCGCCACAGGCGCGCCCCCUCCACCCCGCGCUCUGCCCUCCUCUCUUCUCCUUUGGAGCUUUCGUUCCGGCCGGGCCUCCGCCCUCGAUCGCCCGAGCCGCCUCCUCGCGCCUCGGCGACUGUUUCCACCCCCUUGUCCAUCAAUUCCCGAUUCGUUUCGAAUCGCGUUUGAUUUGAUUUCACUCGCCGUCGCCGUUGCCUUGCUGUGCUCGCAGGGUAUUCCAAUCCGGCGAGCCCGGGAAGCGAUCGAUCGGGGAUUCAUUCAUUUUGGUUUGCGAGUCUAUCUCAGAGUCGCGUGUCCGCUUCUGUUUGCAACCGUGGAUCCUGUGUUCCUCGUAUUCGUGUCCGCAUCCGCGCGCGUUGGUUGCAGGAUCGUCGAGCCUGGUUUUUGGAAUUGGAGCUCUGAUUGUGGAGCCGGAGGCCGAGGCAAGGUCAGUUUCCCGUGCUCGUUCAGACCGCUUCCUCUGCGUUCAUCCGUGAUUCCAGAUUUCAAAAGUUUGCGAUCUUCUGGUUCCCCGACCGCUGUGGUUUAUUCCGUAUCAUCCGUUGGUACGAGGUGUAUUAAUUCGAGGCCCUCGUGGAGGAUUCUUGUUGUACCGGCUGAUCUCGGUUUUGUUAUGUCUUGUGCUCUCACCCUAGAUGCAGAGGAAUCCAGAGGGCGCGCUAGUUCUUCAGAGGUGGAGGUUUGAUUUCUUUUCAUGGUUAUUCUGAUUGAUGAUUGGUUACGGUUGAGCGGUUAUUCUGAUUGGUUACGGAUCAGCGGUUAUCCUGAUAGGUUCAGAUCUUCUCGUGUGAUGAAGCCUAGGAUUUCUUACCAACCGGAACCAGCGAUCUGCGUUUGGAUAAAUGAUUAAAUCCCUCCCAACUUCAGUUUCCUGGUCUGCACAGUAGUCAACGGCAACAAUUCUGAUCUGAAUUCUUUGCUUCUCCAGAAAUUAUAAAUUGGAUUACACGGCAUAGCGGGAGCAACAUCUGCGUUUGGAUGAUUAUUAUUACCCCCUCUAUUUACUUCCUUCAUCUACACAGUUCAAUCUUAGUCGCUUCUGAUUUAGAUUUGUUGAUGGUUGUCCAGAAAUUGGGAUUAUACGGCUUACUGGGAGCGACUUGUCAUUCUUCCUCACCUGUGUUUGGAUGAUCAUUCUCUCUCUGUUUAUUUCCUUUCCUCCAUGGUUCAAUUAGUCUCCACACAAUUCUGAUUUGGAUUUGUUGCUCGUACUCCAGAAAAUUGGAAUUAUACGGCUUAGCGAGUGGUCCUCUUUUCCCUCGGCAUGGCGGUUCCUUUUCUGUGGCUCAACAGUAUUUCUUACUCAAUAAUAUAAUUAUUAUUAGAACACACCAGACAAGUUUUCUCUGCCUUAGUUUGUCAAUUCUUAGCUCUUGCAGACAUCGUCUUGGAAGGGAUAUAAUUGGAACCGGUGCUGUCUACCUGACCUUCCCAGACAAGACUUUCUUAUAACUUUUACCUCCUCAUUUGAAGCAUGCUUUAGCUGAGCCUCGGCAUGCGUUGCAGGUUUGACAAACGCAAAGUCUAACCUGAUGCGGAGUUGAAUUUGUUUGCAGUUCUUCUAAAUCCAAUCAAUUCAUUAUUACUUAGAUGACCUUUAAGAUCUUCUCACUAGGCAAUAUUUUAAAUUCAGAUUCAUCUGCAAAGGCGCAAGAAUGGAGCUUCAAACUAAUGGCACAUCCUACAACAGAAAGACUCUUCUCCAUUUUUAACUCUUGCCUCUUAUUUUUAUUUCACGUAGCUACUUGUUCAUGCCUUUGAUUUAGGCUUUUUUGCUUCUGCCCCCCUGUGAUUGCAGAUUUAUUUUAGCCCAGAGCGUGUUGGUACUUGGUAGCGAGUCGAAAUCUGUUAAAAUUGGUUGGUUUGCAAUCUACCUCUAUGCGGUUCGAUUUGUUAUAUGUACUCUUAUCCUGUCGGCUGCAGGCCAUAUUUAGGAAGUUUGUGCUUAUGAGCAAAAUCUCUGUACAGUGAGUCAGGUCAGUGUUCUAUCAACGGUUUGUUUGGUUUAGUUCUGUUCCUCCACACAUUGGUUGCAGGAUUGGAUCUGGAAUGUGGAGAUCCCUGUGGUGUUGUAUGUUAAGGGGAUUUGAGCAGGUCAGGUUUGAAUGGCUAUCGCCUGUGUGGUCUCCUGGUUCUCAUCACAUGUUUCUUCAUCAUCAGCUAAUAUGAGGUGGAUUAGAGAGGUCCUGGUGGAUUCUUAUUGUAGCAGCUGAUCGCGUUUUUGGUGUGUGUUUGUGCUCCUUUGCUUGCAGCAGAUGCAGGAGUGUAGUAGUUCUGCACAGAUGAAUCAUAGGGGAGAUUUGGUUUCUGUUCGUCAUUUUGAUUGAUUGGAUAAUGAAGCUUUGGAUCUCUUACCAACCUGGAACUUGUGAUCUGCGUUUGGAUAAUAUAUAUUCCGUCCCAAUUCAAUUUAUUUGGUUUGCACAAUACAACUUAGCCCUUGGUAGUUCUGAUCUGUAUUCGUUUGUGGUUUUCCAGAAAUUGAGGUUAAUUGGUGGAGAUUUGGUUUCUGUUCAUCAUUUUGAUUGGUUGGAUAAUGAAGUUUUGGAACCUAGAACUUGCGAUCAGCGUUUGGAUAAUGAAUUCUGUCCCGAUUCAAUUUAUUUGGUUUGCGCAGUACAAUUUAGUCCUGGCAGUUCUGAUCUGUAUUCGUUUGUGGUUUUCAGAAAUUGGGCUUCGUAAGGUUUAGGAGGAGCAACCUAUCUUCUUGCUGAUCUGCAUUUGGAUGAUUACGAACCCCUCUAUUUAAUUCCUUCUCAAUUCAAUUUUAGUCUCCGACAAUUCUGAUUUGGAUCUGUUGCUGGUUGUCCAGAAAUUGGGAUUAUAUGGCUUAGCGGGAGCGACCUAUCUUCUUGCUGACCUGCACUUGGAUGAUCAUUACUCUCUCUGUUUAAGUUCUUCUCCAUAGCUCAAGUAGUUGCCCGACGAUUCUGAUUUAGAAUUUUUGCUGGUUCUCCAGAAAUUGGAAUUAUAUGGCUUAGCGGGUGGUCCUAUCUUUCCAAGGCAUGGCGGUUCUUUCUGUGGCCCAACAUAUCCGACCUUUUAUCCUCCCUUGAUAAUUGAACUUUCAAAUGUUAGUUUCUUUGCCUUGAUUGGUAAUUCUCAGCUCUUGCAGAUGCUGACUUGGGAGCGAAAUAAUUGGAACCAGUGUUGUCUACCUGACUUUCCAGCCGAGACAGGCUUACUUACCCUUUACCUCAACAUUUGAUGCUUGCUUUAGCUGAGCCUAGUUUUCCUCUUAUAACUUAUAGAAAGGUAUCUCCCUCGUUGCAGGCCAUAGUUGAUGACUCGUCCAACCUGAUGCUGACUUGAAUCCGUUUGCAGUUCUUCUAAAUCUAUUAUUUUCUCAAUUCAUCAGAACUUAGACAGCCUUCAAAAUUAUCUUACCAGACAAUAUUUUGAAUUCAGAAUUAUCUGCCAAGGUUCAACAAUGGAGAUUCAAACUAAUGGAACAUCCUACAAUGAAAAAGAGUGCUCCAGUUUUAACUCACCUCUUAUGCUACUUGUUCAUGUCUUUGAUUUAGGUUUUUCCUUCUGCCCUCCCUUUGGUUGCAGAUUAAGCCCAAACCAUGCUGGUAGUGAGUUGGAAUCUGUUAAAAUCGUUUGGUUUGCGAUCUAUCUCUCUCUCUCUGGAUCGAUUUGUUGUUUGUACUCUUGAUCCCUGGUCUUCUGCGUGUAUCAGUUGCAGGAUAUAUUUAGGAAGUCUGGGCCUAUGUGCAGGAUAUAUUUGGAUAUGUUGGUGGUUCUCCAGAAAUUGGAAUUAUAUGGCGUAGCGGGAGCGACGCAUCUUGCUGCUCUGUGUUUGGAUAAUUAUCACUUCCUCUGUUUUACUCUUUCAUCUCCACUGUUCUGUUUUGGUUUCCCACAAUUCUGAUUUAAACUAUUUCUUGGUGGCUCUCCAGAAAUUGGAAUAAUAUGGCUUAGAAGGCGUCCUAUUUUUCCUCGGCAUGGCGGUUCCUUCUGUGGCUAAAAACUUUCUCAACCUUUUUUACUCUAUAAUUGAACUCUCUAGACAUUAGGUUUUCUUUGCCUUAGUAAUUAUCAGCUCUUGCAGAUACUGACUUGGAAAGGAUAUAACUGCAGUUUGGAACCUGCGUUGUUGUCCUCCAUCAUCCAUACCUGACCCUAGACAGGCUUUACUUGUUCCCACUCAAUCAUCCAUGCUUUAGCUAUUUAUAAGAAGCAUUUCCCCUAACAAUUUUUUUUAUAGAAACGGUGUCUUGCUCACUGCAGGUUGUAGUUGACAAACUCCUGUCCAGCCUGAUGAUGAAUCCGUCUACUGAUCUUCGAAAUCUACAGUGUCGUUUCAAUUCAUUGCAACUUACAUAACCUAUAAAUUAUCUUACUAGACAAUUUUUAAAUACAGAUUCAUAUGCAGCACGAAUAUAUAAGAUGAUCUAGAGCCUACUAAUGGCACAUCCUACAACCGAAAAAGACUCUUACCUUCCUUUUUUUUAAUUUCAUUUAGUUACUUGGCCAUCUCUCUGACAUAGGUUUUUGCCCCUGCCCUUCCUAUGGUUGCAGAUUUUUCUUUAGCCCAGGCCAUGUGGGCAAUGACUAAACUCUUGAUCCCUGUUUUAUUGGUCUUCUGCGUGUGUGGGUUGGCAAUAUAUAAUUUUUAUUAGGAGUUUGGGCCCAAACCUUUGCUCUGUACAUGGAGUCAGGUCAGUGUCUCGUAGACGGUCUGUUUGUUUCAUUUGUUAUCGCCGCCUCUACAAUUUGGCUUGCAGGACUGGAUCUUGAUCUGGUCUGGAAGUAAAGCUCCUUGUGGGUUGUGAACGUAUGGUGGAGGGGACUCGAGGCAGAUUUCACUAUGGUCUGACUUUCCUUGAAGAACUUUUAAGUAUGCUGAUUAUAUUUGGGUUGAUUUGCAUUGUUGGAGGUUUUAUUGCAAGAUUGUAGAGUUGGAUAGUCAGUUAGCGCGGGGACUUGGUGUAGCAAAUGGACUUCCCUGAUGGUUUUGACCUCUGAUUACUGAUCCUGAAGCAUAAUGAUUUGGUCUUUGUGGUAGUUUUCAGUUUGAACUUGCAUUCAGUGGCCUCAUAUCUUUGGUGCAGCUUGGAGUUAGUAGUGUGCACAUCUGAUGAUUCUUUCAACUGUCCUGAAGCAUCUUACUUGGUUUCUGUUGUGCCAUCCUACUGGUUACGGUAUCUUAUUCAACUUGCAUGUGGUUUGGAUGGAAUAUGAUCUUAUCUUUUGCUCGAAUCAAGAAAAUGCUAGAAGUCUCAAACAAGGGUCCAAAAUGGAAAUAUCAGUUCGUACUCAGUUUGUAUAGCAGAUUAUCAAAGUUUGACUUGGCUAUUAAUUACCUGGUUACCAUACUGUUUCAUGAAGUUUGGUUUUGGUAUUUGGCUGCUUGUAUCUUUCAACUUGCAAAUUUGUCACCUAAUAGGAAGUAAAGAUCGCAUGUACAUGAGCUCUGAAUGCAGUAAAAAUGUUAAGCAUAUUAUAUGAAUAUAUGUGAAUUGGUCA